rnacentral:rRNA from 1 species
UACAGGGGGAGCAAGCGUUGUUCGGAUUUACUGGGCGUAAAGGGCGCGUAGGCGGCCAGCACAAGUCAGUUGUGAAAUCUCCGGGCUUAACUCGGAAAGGUCAACUGAUACUGUGCGGCUAGAGUGCAGAAGGGGCAACUGGAAUUCUCGGUGUAGCGGUGAAAUGCGUAGAUAUCGAGAGGAACACCUGCGGCGAAGGCGGGUUGCUGGGCUGACACUGACGCUGAUGCGCGAAAGCCAGGGGAGCGAACGGG